UACAGAGGUCUCGAGCGUUGUUCGGAUUCAUUGGGCGUAAAGGGCGCGUAGGCGGCGGGGUAAGUCUGGUGUGAAAUCUAGGAGCUCAACUCCUAAACUGCACUGGAUACUGCUCUGCUAGAGGACUGGAGGGGAGACUGGAAUUCACGGUGUAGCAGUGAAAUGCGUAGAUAUCGUGAGGAACACCAGUGGCGUAAGCGGCUUGCUGGGCUGUAACUGACACUGAGGAACGAAAGCCAGGGGAGCGAAUGGG
rnacentral:rRNA from 1 species